CAAAAAAAAAAAAAAAAUACACAUACAUGAAUUUCCAUGUCAACGAACUCUCGUCUGCAUAUCCCAACCGAUGCUUAAAGGAAGGACUUCAAUUGUAAAGAACAAAUUUGUUUCCUCAGUUUAUUGUAUCUUUUUAUAUAUAUUUGGCCAAGCUUAUUCAUACAAUCAAUUUAUUGGAGUUUUCUAGGUAAAGAUUGAGCUGAAUAAAUGUACACAAAAGAUAGCGGUCAUCUACAAAUUUGUAAUCUUAAUGACCCUCUUUAUAUUCAGGGGACAUAAGUGUGGAAUUUUUACUUUACCAAUCUUAACUUUAUAUGUAAAUAGUAGUCUCCCUUUGUUUAAUGACUGUAAAAUUAUUUUAAUGGUACCGAAAAUUGACUUGCUAAGAAAUGUAAAAUCGCACAUUUCCAUUUACAGCUCACCUCACUGCCUGCAUGUUUGUCGUUUUUUGAUAUAUAUUAAAAAUAAUUGUACAAUCAUAACGGAACUAACGUUUCUACGUUAUUGAUACUACAACAUACUACGUAACCCUGCCGGACCAAGUAAAACAAAG